rnacentral:rRNA from 1 species
ACGUCUUUUUCUCGCUUUCCUCUGAAUUACUGGGCGUAAAGCGUGCGCAGGCGGUUCGCUAAGACAGGUGUGAAAUCCCCGGGCUUAACCUGGGAAUGGCGCUUGUGACUGGCGGGCUGGAGUACGGCAGAGGGGGGUGGAAUUCCACGUGUAGCAGUGAAAUGCGUAGAGAUGUGGAGGAACACCGAUGGCGAAGGCAGCCCCCUGGGCCGAUACUGACGCUCAUGCACGAAAGCGUGGGGAGCAAACAG